GACGAACGCUGGCGGCGUGCUUAACACAUGCAAGUCGAACGGAAAGGCCCUGCUUUUGUUGGUUUCUCGAUUGGCGAACGGGUGAGUAACACGUGAGUAACCUCCCCUUGUCUUUGGGAUAACCUCAGGAAAAUGGGGCGCAUACCGGGUAUGAUCUCCUGCUGCAUGUGGUUGGUUGGAAAGUGUCGGCGGUUGGGGAUGGACUCGCGGCUUAUCAGCUUGUUGGUGUAGUAGUGGCUUACCAAGGCUUUGACGGGUAGCCUGCCUGAGAGGGUGACCGGCCACAUUGGGACUGAGGUACGGACCAGAAUGCUACGGGAGGCAGCAGUGGAGAAUAUUGCACAAUGGGCGGAAGCGUGAUGCAGCAACGCCGGGUGCGGGAUGACGGCCUUCGGGUUGUAAACAGAUUUCGCCUGUGACGAAGAGUGCGUGACGGUAAUAGGUAAAGAAGCACCGGCUAACUACGUG
rnacentral:rRNA from 1 species